rnacentral:rRNA from 1 species
CCUACGGGAGGCAGCAGUGGGGAAUAUUGGGCAAUGGAGGCAACUCUGACCCAGCAAUGCCGCGUGAGUGAUGAAGGUAAUUUUAUUGUAAAGCUCUUUUCUUUGGAACGAAUAAAUGACGUUACCAAAGGAAUAAGCCCCGGCUAACUACGUGCCAGCACCCGCGGUAAUAGGGGGGAUGCGAGCGUUAUCCGGAUUUAUUGGGUUUAAAGGGUGCGCGGGCGGCGGAACAAGUCAGCGGGAAAAUCGCGGGGCUAAACCCCGCUCCGCCGUUGAAACUGUGUCCCUUGAGUGCGCGAAGGGCAGGCGGAAUGCGUGGUGUAGCGGUGAAAUGCAUAGAUAUCACGCAGAACUCCGAUCGCGAAGGCAGCCUACCGGCGCGUAACUGACGCUCAGGCACGAAAGCGUGGGUAUCGAACAGGAUUAGAUACCCUAGUAGUC